UGCCUAGUGAUGAGUAACUUCCUGAAGGCA
rnacentral:piRNA from 1 species